GAUGAACGCUGGCGGUGCGCCUAAUGCAUGCAAGUCGAGCGACGCACUCCGGAGGGGUAACCCGACUCGGAAUGACGGAGCGGCGAACGGGUGAGUAACACGUGAGCAACCUGCCCCACAGACCGGGAUAGCCCAGGGAAACCUGGAUUAAUACCGGAUAUCCUCGUAGGACCGCAUGGUCCAUCGAGGAAAUGCCUUUGUGCUGUGGGAUGGGCUCGCGACUUAUCAGCUAGUUGGUGGGGUAACGGCCUACCAAGGCAUUGACGAGUAGCUGGUCUGAGAGGACGAUCAGCCACACUGGAACUGAGACACGGUCCAGACUCCUACGGGAGGCAGCAGCAGGGAAUCUUGCGCAAUGGGCGAAAGCCUGACGCAGCGACACCGCGUGGGGGAUGAAGGCCUUCGGGUUGUAAACCCCUUUCAGGAGGGAUGAAAUUGACAGUACCUCCACAAGAAGGACCGGCCAACUACGUG
rnacentral:rRNA from 1 species